AUUGAACGCUGGCGGCAGGCCUAACACAUGCAAGUCGAGCGAGCGGCGGACGGGUGAGUAAUGUAUGGGGACUGCCCGAUAGCGGGGGAUAACUACUGGAAACGGUAGCUAAUACCGCAUACUAUCGGAUAACCCAUAUGGGAUUAGCUAGUAGGUGAGGUAAUGGCUCACCUAGGCGACGAUCCCUAGCUGGUCUGAGAGGAUGAUCAGCAAACUGGGGACGGAGAAACGGCCAGGACUCUACGGGAGGCAGCAGUGGGGAAUAUUGCACAAUGGGCGCAAGCCUGAUGCAGCCAUGCCGCGUGUAUGAAGAAGGCCCUAGGGUUGUAAAGUACUUUCAGUCGGGAGGCGUUACCGACAGAAGAAGCACCGGCUGACUCCGUGCCAGCAGCCGCGGUAAUUC
rnacentral:rRNA from 1 species